rnacentral:lncRNA from 1 species
CCGAUUUCGCGGUUUCAGUUGACUGGCUACUCUGACCUAGAGUAACCCGUCAAUGAAUUUACAAACAAAAUACGCGUGGCACUGUUGGAAUGAGGUUAAUCCGGUUAAUUGCAAGGACGGACAUAUCAGGAGAUAAUGCAGCUCAUCACCCAGGUCAUUCGAGGGGCAGAGCGGGCACCUUCUUUCGUUGUGUGGCACAUGACUUUGCGACCAUCUUCCAACCUCGAUAGGGAACCUAUGAUUGCCAGUUCGGAAAUGGAAUAAUGAUAAGCGCUGGGAACAUGAACACAGCGAGUUGUUUUAGAUGUACUAGGCAACAGGAAACAUUUAUCACACAGGAACACUAUCCCCGGCUGCUCCUUGCACGAGGAUACGUCUAGGGAGAUAUAUAUACAAUUUUUCACCCGUUCCAAACUUAAACCUUGAGUCAAAAUAAAAAAGGUUCACAAAAAUGUGAACGCCAUACCGCAGUAUGGUAAUAAAGAGCUUUGUUUCAAUGAAAUUGAAAUAUGGGAACAAAGCUGUGGUUGAAACCUAAAAAAAAUAUUUUUUGAAUAAAAAGGAGGAAAACUAGAAACCACACUACUCAAUAUUGAGACACAUAGUUUUGCCAAGUGUAAACAAGCUCGUACAAACAUGGGUAAUAAAAAUAUCACCAGGACAAGAAAAUUUCGAUGUCAAGGCCAUUUGACUUCAAAUGGACUUGUUUGUAUAACAGAAGUCUGAUCUCUGCAAGUCUCGUCUAUAGUUGUGUUUGCUCCUUUUUCCCAAAAUAAAAAUGGUAAAUCGGAAUAUGGGUAAUAAAAAUACGGUACGGACAACGAUGUGAUACUUCUGACCCCUUGUGACUUGUCAUUGAAAUAAAAACGGAUGGAUAUUGUACAAAAUGUACCACAAUUUUGUAUAUUUGUAUAAAUACCCUAACUAGGUUAAAUAAAAUUAGGAUAGAGAUAACAAAGUUUUGGCCUGGAGAAGAAAAGGCAUUAUGAAAGACCCUUUUGAAACUUCCUGACCAAAGGUAUACACUCCCAUUUGUCAUCUGAAGUUCUAUAUUUCACAAGGGGAAGUUGUCAACAGUCCAUGGAGUUAUAACUAUUAUACAAUGAAAGAAAUUAAGAAUUGUAUAUUUUGCACACUAUUCAAUAUAUAAUUAAUGUGUACUAAGAACAGAGAUUCUUACGUAUACUAUUGUCCUUUUAUACCGUUGUCUUCGGUACCAUGUUUUUGUCUUUGUUAUUGGUCCUGGUGUAUUAAAUCUUUUAUUGCAAUGUGAGCAUGAAGCUAUUGCAAUACGCACAUGACGCAUUAGAGUUAAAUGGUAUUGACUUAAUUCUUUAGAUUAUCAUUGUUGUAGUCCGUUCGCAUUACAAUGUAUUUUCAUCCUAGAAUGAAAACGAAAGCUGUGAAAUUUUAUUAAGUGAGCAUUUUUUUUCACUUUCUGAUUAACAUUUGCAUUUGUAUGUUACUUUAAUCGGAAUUUUUAUUUUUUGUUAAUUUACCAUUUUUUUUGUAAUUUUUCUACGUUUUUUCCCCAAACACUCCAGAAUAUUAUCAUUUGUAAAAAUGAUUCAUGCAAUUAUCUGCGCAUUAAAGAUAAUUUUUACAAAGACGUUAAUAUAAUCCGGUUGACAUCCCUCACAUUAAAGGAAGCAUUGUGAACAUUCCAGGGAAAUAAAACUAAAAAACAUGAUUGUAGGCCGCAUCUUUGAGAUAUAAAGCUAACAUAAAACGAUUUUCGUAAAAACUCGAUCUCUUUGAUAUGACUAGUGGGUGGAAUAAAACUGAAAUUAGAAACGCUUAAUUACAUUAUUUUCUAUCAUAUAACAAUGAAAACAAAUAAAAACAAUAUGUGCUUGGGUGUUAUUACACGAUCUGGUAACAUUUGGUCACCUAACAAAUAUGCAUUUGAAGCUUGGAGUUUAACAAGCAAUUAAAUUACAUGUUUUCUUUCGCUUCAAAACAGGUGAGGCAGAUGAGCACGAAUAUUUUACUUGAAUUAGGACAUACAAUAAAGCUUUUAGUAACAUUAAAUUUUAAUAUUUAGUUUGGUACCUUGCAUUUGCAUAUUAGUUAAAAGCCUGAAAGCGGUUGAACAUCAAUUGAAUUUCCUAUGGCAAAUGAACACAUAAGAAAGAACUGGUAAAUUAUUGUGUGUAUUUCUGCCUCAAAAUGUCACUCGGAGUACAAUAAAGCAAGCCAGGUUGUCAGUAAUAUUCUGCAAUAUGCAGUGUUGCAAUCGUCGUUCUAAUACACCAAAACUUGCAUUAGACACCAACCUCCAUUUUUGUUUAAAAUUCUGACUUUGUUUAGAACAAUAUGAAUAAUUGUUGAUUUUAUGUUAGAGUUAUCGCGCAUCAACACAGUACAGGUUAUGUGGCGCCAAACAAGAAUAAAAAGUCUGGUUCACAUCCAAAUAAAAAUAUGAGGUAUAAAGUCAAACAUUUUAUUCCUGAUGGAAACACACAGUUACAGCAAAACCAUGUGUUCAGGCCGUAUUGGUCUCCUCUUACGAUCAUGCAAUGGUGAGACAGCGGUUCCAGUUCUUUUCACACACCAUUUGGUCCAGAUAAUAAUAAUAAGACAUGAAUGGAGCAUUUAACCUGACAGUGAUAAGUUCAAGGCUAUAUAUUAGUUCAAAAUAUUCAGUAAACUUUUAAUAGCAUAUGUUUAUCAAAUUUAUUCACUUUCACCAUUUUAUAUCAGAACUUGCUACUGCGGUCGAUGCUGAAUAUAUACUCUAGAAUUAAAUAAAAACUGUUUUGUUUAAAUUGGCAAGACAAUAUGUAAAUCCAUACUUUUAUUGUGUAUGACCUUCUGGAGAUGAAGAUAUGUCUGUUCGCGUGAUAUAUUCACGUUAUUGUUGUCAUGAGUUUGCUUAUUGCUUUGAUUAGAAGCCAACAUUUAUAAAUACUAGAUCGUUAUCUGACACCUUUCAUAAUAUUUUAUAACUUAAUUUAUGCUAGUUGUACGACCUUUGACUAAACAAGUGCAACUCGUUUCCUUUAGCAGUACUAGACUUCUAGACCUUAGACCGGCAUUAGAAAUAAAACAGCAGUAAAAAUAUCUUGAUUUUAUAUUUAUAACUUCGGCAAACCACAGAAUGGAUAUAUAAAAAAAGAAGUUUUGUUUCUUACUCAGAAUACCUAGACGUCAAAACAACAAAUAAUUGCAAAUCUAAGUUACCUUUUCAUGGGGGUAUUGUGGGAAGACAUUUCACUUAACGUUUCUAUGCUUGAUAUACACUUCAAUUUGUUGAUACUGAGUGCUCUUUUUAAAGAUUCACUCUUAUAUAUGUUUCUUGUAUGUUCCAGAAUUUCACGGAAUUUCGCUAGUCUAAUAUAAAUACUUAAAAAUCUGGCCAGCGGAGCAAAUGGUAUACUGUUGUAAUUGAAAUGGUUGCUUUCAAGGCUUUAUUUGCUAGUCAAGUAAAAUGUUAACAUUAUUUGUAUUGAUUGAAUACAAAUAUAUUAGUUUGAUGUAUGGUUUGUAGUUUCUUUGAAUAUUAACCAGUUUAUUUCCAGAUAAAUAUUUUCGCUAGGGAAAUAAACACACAAAAAGUACUUUCGGGAAUUUAACACUAAUAGUUCAUCAAUCUCAUUUGUGCAAAAGAGAUAAAUAGCCAUUAUAAACGAAAACAUUUUUUUUCUAUGUGUCUCAUCAGUAAUUUUCAUAGAUGGACUCAAAUACCAAACUCUGAACCUGCUUAAUCUCAUCUUAUUAUGAAGCCAUAUAUUGUGAACGUAUUUUAUAGCCAUAUAUUUUACUUGAAUAAUUAAAUUGUGUAAAUUCAAAGUCAUGCCAAUAACGUUUAGAUGUUCAAUCUAGUAAACGAGUUUUUAGCUGUACUUAUUGUAUAGCUAUGAAAAUAUUUUACUACUUCUAUCUGGAUCUCUUUUCGUCCAAGAAAUACCAUCGCCUCACUACAUGGCAAGUAUACUCAUUGAUUUAUACACACAUUGCUGUGCCGUACCACGUAUUUUCAUGAUUUUGCUGUUUUGUUUGCAUUUAGAAGAGCUAUUGUUCUAAAUUUUUUAUACUUUAGUUUAAAACAUAAAUUCACUAAAACAUAGAUAUUAGUCGUCUCAGGUUUAUUCCUUUGAAUAAUUUCAAAAUGACUCAUAAUUACUUCAUCAAAAUACAAAAGUACACCCCCCGCAUCCCCCCCCCCCCCCCCCCCAAAAAAAAAACUGCAAUAAAAACGUUUAAAUUUGAAACUCAACUUCUUUAACGUUACACAUGGGUGAUAUAAAACUGAAAUUAGAAACGCAUAAAAGUUGUUCCUCCUUCUACUUCUUAUAGUAUAAAAUCGACGGUGUAAAUUUUCUUGAAUAUCUGCGGAAAGAAGUUAUUGUAUUUCAGCUUUCUUCUAGACAGCAGUGACUGUGAUACAUUAUAAAUCUGGUAUGAUAUAAAACUGGUAUUGUAUAAUGUUAAAUAAAUUUUGGAACGAUUAUUGAACAGAUGAUCAAGAAAUUAAGUAAAAGCAUGUGCAAAACAUUUGAUAGCGGAUAAUUUAAUUCUAU